CCCCGCUGGAAACUUGAUUUUGCGCUUUCCAGCCUCUAGAACUAAUACGUGAAAAACAUUUAAAUCAGAAAGUAAAUAACAGGAUGAUUUGCAAGACACAGAGAUGUAAAAUUAAAAAGCCUCUCGAGCUCCAAAGGGGGACGCAUCAGGAGGAUAAUUCCAAGAGUUUAGUGGUGAAUUUCCUUGGCUUCCACUGAGCUACCUGUUAACUUCAACAAGCACACUGGCCUGGAGACUACAUGAUGGUGUAUCAGUUAUGGAUUUACAACUGCAAACGUCUCAAGCAGCAGUGCCACAUCCUUGCUACCUCCCUGCUACCUCCCUGCUUUUGCGUGUGUCCCUACAUUAUCCAAAAUAGGGGUGGGCUAAUGACGAUUGCAGGCUAAUUCCAGCCCACCACUUGCUUCUGUAAAUAAAAUCUUAUUGUACACAAACAUAGCCAGUUAUUUAA
rnacentral:lncRNA from 1 species